rnacentral:hammerhead_ribozyme from 1 species
AUCCAGCUAACGAGUCCCAAAUAGAACGAAACACGCUUUGUCCUGGAU